rnacentral:rRNA from 1 species
UAGGGAAUCUUCCACAAUGGACGCAAGUCUGAUGGAGCAACGCCGCGUGAGUGAAGAAGGCUUUCGGGUCGUAAAACUCUGUUAUUGAAGAAGAACGUGUGUGACAGUAACUGGUCAUGCAGUGACGGUAUUCAAUCAGAAAGUCACGGCUAACUACGUGCCAGCAGCCGCGGUAAUA